UAACGAGCGCAACCCCUACUGCUAGUUGCCAGCGGGUCAUGCCGGGGACUCUAGCGGAACUGCCAGCGUAAGCUGCGAGGAAGGUGGGAUGACGUCAAAUCAGCACGGCCCUUACGUCCAGGGCUACACACGUGUUACAAUGGCCGGUACAGAGGGCAGCCACCCCGCGAGGGGGCGCGAAUCCCGAAAGCCGGUCCCAGUUCGGAUCGGAGUCUGCAACCCGACUCCGUGAAGCUGGAUUCGCUAGUAAUCGCGCAUCAGCCACGGCGCGGUGAAUACGUUCCCGGGCCUU
rnacentral:rRNA from 1 species